CCCCGCCUCCAUUGCUUGAGCUAGCUUGAUUUGGAGGGCACUUACGACAUCACUUGUCCCAAACAAGUCGGCUCAUUACAUUCAGAACCAUUGGCAAAUAGACGUGUAUACUUGGUGUCUGGCCUCCAAACAUCAAUAUGGAGCGGUUAUGGGAAGAAAGACGGGCCUGUUUUUAAAUUUGAUUACCUGACCGAGAUCCAGAAGUAACCUUUCGCAUUCUAAACCCCUGGUAGCGGAAGAAAACUGCCUUGAAAUUACGAGCGUCUGCUAUAAAAAGCGAUCAUCUGCCGACCACGUGCGUAAUUUCAACACGAAAGGAAUCAACAAGUCCACCUCUACAAGGGUACGACUCCUAACAAGAUAUCUUUCAGAUUGUUCUUGAGUUACUGUAGUGUGUCAGAAGUGUGUUGGCACAACUAUGCUCAUUCCCUCUAAUCCCUCUCUGCCUAACACAGUUUGCAGCAAAAGUUUGGUCUUUUUUAAUUUUUUUAUUUUGUAAUAAGCUCCCUUUUAAACUAUCUAAAAAUAGUUAGCUUGAAGACUGUCACAAAAUAUUCUAAUGCAUGGGAAAUUAAAUAAAAUAUGGAGCUAAUCUA